UAAGCGGAGGAAAAGAAACCAACAGGGAUUGCCCUAGUAACGGCGAGUGAAGCGGCAACAGCUCAAAUUUGAAAUCUGGCUUCGGCCCGAGUUGUAAUUUGCAGAGGAUGUUUCUGGCGCGGUGCCUUCCGAGUUCCCUGGAACGGGACGCCACAGAGGGUGAGAGCCCCGUAUGGUUGGACACCAAGCCUGUGUGAAACUCCUUCGACGAGUCGAGUAGUUUGGGAAUGCUGCUCAAAAUGGGAGGUAAAUCUCUUCUAAAGCUAAAUACCGGCCAGAGACCGAUAGCGCACAAGUAGAGUGAUCGAAAGAUGAAAAGCACCUUGAAAAGGGGGUUAAACAGUACGUGAAAUUGUUGAAAGGGAAGCGCUUGUGACCAGACUUGCGCCAGGCGGCUCAUCCGGGGUUCUCCCCGGUGCACUCCGCCUGGCUCAGGCCAGCAUCGGUUCUUGUUGGGGGAUAAGAACGGUAGGAACGUGGCCCUCCUUCGGGAGGGUGUUAUAGCCUGCCGUGCGAUACCCUGACGGGGACCGAGGUUCGCGCUCCGCAAGGAUGCUGGCGUAAUGGUCAUCAGCGACCCGUCUUGAAACACGGACCAAGGAGUCGUCCAUUAGAGCGAGCGUUUGGGUGACAAACCCGCACGCGUAAUGAAAGUGAAACCAGGUGAGAGCUUCGGCGCAUCAUCGACCGAUCCUGAUGUUCUCGGAAGGAUUUGAGUAAGAGUUUUAACGGACGGACCCGAAAGACAGUGAACUAUGCUUGUAUAGGGUGAAGCCAGAGGAAACUCUGGUGGAGGCUCGCAGCGGUUCUGACGUGCAAAUCGAUCGUCAAAUAUGAGCAUGGGGGCGAAAGACUAAUCGAACUGUCUAGUAGCUGGUUACCGCCGAA
rnacentral:rRNA from 1 species